rnacentral:rRNA from 1 species
GACAGAGGGGGCAAGCGUUGCUCGGAAUUACUGGGCGUAAAGGGCGCGUAGGCGGGAUGGCAAGUCGGUCGUGAAAUCCCUCGGCUCAACCGAGGAACGUCGAUCGAUACUGCUGUUCUUGAGGAUUGCAGAGGAGACUGGAAUUCCCGGUGUAGCGGUGAAAUGUGUAGAGAUCAGGAGGAACACCCGGUGGGCGAAGGCGGCUUGCUGGGCCUUACCUGACGCUGGAGGAGCGAAAAGCCGUGGG